rnacentral:rRNA from 1 species
GACGAACGCUGGCGGCGUGCUUAACACAUGCAAGUCGAACGGUAAGGCCCUUCGGGGUACACGAGUGGCGAACGGGUGAGCAACACGUGGGUGAUCUGCCCUGCACUUCGGGAUAAGCCUGGGAAACUGGGUCCAAUACCGGAUAGGACCCUGGGAUGCAUGUCCUGGGGUGGAAAGCUUUUGCGGUGUGGGAUGGGCCCGCGGCCUAUCAGCUUGUUGGUGGGGUGAUGGCCUACCAAGGCGACGACGGGUAGCCGGCCUGAGAGGGUGACCGGCCACACUGGGACUGGGAUACGGCCCAGACUCCUACGGGAGGCAGCAGUGGGGAAUAUUGCACAAUGGGCGCAAGCCUAAUGCAGCGACGCCGCGUGAGGGAUGACGGCCUUCGGGUUGUAAACCUCUUUCAGCACCGACGAAGCGCAAGUGACGGUAGGUGCAGAAGAAGGACCGGCUAACUUCGUGCCAGCCGCCGCGGUAA